CAAUAGCGUAUAUUUAAGUUGUUGCAGUUAAAAAGCUCGUAGUUGGAUUUCGGUUAAGAGCGACCGGUCCGCCGUUUGGUGUGCACUGGUUGGUUUUAACUUCCUGUAGAGGACGUGCUCUGGGUUUAACGACCUGGACUCGGAGUCUACGUGGUUACUUUGAAAAAAUUAGAGUGUUCAAAGCGGGCUUACGCUUGAAUAUUUCAGCAUGGAAUAACACUAUAGGACUCCUGUCCUAUUUCGUUGGUCUCGGGACGGGAGUAAUGAUUAAGAGGAACAGUUGGGGGCAUUCGUAUUUCAUUGUCAGAGGUGAAAUUCUUGGAUUUAUGAAAGACGAACUUCUGCGAAAGCAUUUGCCAAGGAUGUUUUCAUUAG
rnacentral:rRNA from 1 species